rnacentral:rRNA from 1 species
UAGAUAGAAAGAUUAAACUGAAGAGUUUGAUCAUGGCUCAGAUUGAACGCUGGCGGCAGGCUUAACACAUGCAAGUCGAACGAUGAUUAUCUAGCUUGCUAGAUAUGAUUAGUGGCGGACGGGUGAGUAACAUUUAGGAAUCUGCCUAGUAGUGGGGGAUAGCUCGGGGAAACUCGAAUUAAUACCGCAUACGACCUACGGGUGAAAGGGGGCGCAAGCUCUUGCUAUUAGAUGAGCCUAAAUCAGAUUAGCUAGUUGGUGGGGUAAAGGCCUACCAAGGCGACGAUCUGUAACUGGUCUGAGAGGAUGAUCAGUCACACCGGAACUGAGACACGGUCCGGACUCCUACGGGAGGCAGCAGUGGGGAAUAUUGGACAAUGGGGGCAACCCUGAUCCAGCCAUGCCGCGUGUGUGAAGAAGGCCUUUUGGUUGUAAAGCACUUUAAGCAGGGAGGAGAGGCUAAUGGUUAAUACCCAUUAGAUUAGACGUUACCUGCAGAAUAAGCACCGGCUAACUCUGUGCCAGCAGCCGCGGUAAUACAGAGGGUGCGAGCGUUAAUCGGAAUUACUGGGCGUAAAGCGAGUGUAGGUGGCUCAUUAAGUCACAUGUGAAAUCCCCGGGCUUAACCUGGGAACUGCAUGUGAUACUGGUGGUGCUAGAAUAUGUGAGAGGGAAGUAGAAUUCCAGGUGUAGCGGUGAAAUGCGUAGAGAUCUGGAGGAAUACCGAUGGCGAAGGCAGCUUCCUGGCAUAAUAUUGACACUGAGAUUCGAAAGCGUGGGUAGCAAACAGGAUUAGAUACCCUGGUAGUCCACGCCGUAAACGAUGUCUACUAGCCGUUGGGGUCCUUGAGACUUUAGUGGCGCAGUUAACGCGAUAAGUAGACCGCCUGGGGAGUACGGCCGCAAGGUUAAAACUCAAAUGAAUUGACGGGGGCCCGCACAAGCGGUGGAGCAUGUGGUUUAAUUCGAUGCAACGCGAAGAACCUUACCUGGUCUUGACAUAGUGAGAAUCCUGCAGAGAUGCGGGAGUGCCUUCGGGAAUUCACAUACAGGUGCUGCAUGGCUGUCGUCAGCUCGUGUCGUGAGAUGUUGGGUUAAGUCCCGCAACGAGCGCAACCCUUUUCCUUAUUUGCCAGCGGGUUAAGCCGGGAACUUUAAGGAUACUGCCAGUGACAAACUGGAGGAAGGCGGGGACGACGUCAAGUCAUCAUGGCCCUUACGACCAGGGCUACACACGUGCUACAAUGGUAGGUACAGAGGGUUGCUACACAGCGAUGUGAUGCUAAUCUCAAAAAGCCUAUCGUAGUCCGGAUUGGAGUCUGCAACUCGACUCCAUGAAGUCGGAAUCGCUAGUAAUCGCAGAUCAGAAUGCUGCGGUGAAUACGUUCCCGGGCCUUGUACACACCGCCCGUCACACCAUGGGAGUCUAUUGCACCAGAAGUAGGUAGCCUAACGUAAGAGGGCGCUUACCACGGUGUGGUCGAUGACUGGGGUGAAGUCGUAACAAGGUAGCCGUAGGGGAACCUGCGGCUGGAUCACCUCCUUAA